UUUGGCUACUGAUCAUCUAUCUGUUCAUGAACCAUGCACUGGCGAUGGAUUUCAGGAUGACCUGCCUGCCUGCCUGCCCGGCAUCUUCGGUUGCGUUUCAUUGCACCCUGCGCUGGUAUCAUAGAGAAGACUCUGUUGGUGCGUGUUUCAACUGGGGGAUUUUUACACUGGGCUGUGGCAUUGAGCUUACCACUAGAUGAGAUCAAUUGGCGAUUUCUAAUAAUUACCCACUUUGGGAAGGUAGGUCUUCUUCCUCAUAGUAAUCUUCAUCCUCUCAUCUCUGAACAAAAAUGGCGUUGCAACUGCUCCUGGCCUUUUAUAUUAGCUAACUCUAAUCUCUCUCCAUUUUUUCUUGCAGCACUUGCGCGCUUACUUUAGAUACACAAGCUCGCCAUUUUCUUGUUCUAUCGCACUGGUGGAUGCUAUGAGCAUUCGGCCCGGAAGGCAAGAAUUUGGGGGCAGCUCUGCGUGGAGAAGAAGCUGUCGGGCUUCCAAAAUGUUCUCCAGGAAACCUGCUGAAGACCUGAAACGUUAAUGAGAAACAGAGAUGUCGCAGGACUCUUGGAAUCUGCCAGGCCUGAGAAAUAUUCUCAGAGAAGGGGGGAGGAGUGAGGAUUCACAAGGUUUUAUAGGCAUAUAUAAUAUAUCAUGGCCAAGGAGAGAAGGUAGCAAGACCCAUUUGGGAAUACUUCCUAAGGUGUUCUAAGUCGCUUGGGGCAGUGCUGCUUGGGACCACUAUUCCGUGGCCGGGCUUGAUCUUUCCAGCCAUCUUUCGUUUUUUGCACUAUCUUAUCUUACAGCGGGGG
rnacentral:lncRNA from 1 species